GAAAUCUACUUGCCCUUCAAGGACCGUACCAGUGGUUUUGCACAAUCAGACCACUAAAUCCAGUGCACUUACAACUUGCAUCAUAAAUUACUGAAAACCAGAGAUGUGGACUUGAGACAUGGUCAUGAGGACUAGAGUAAUGUAUUGGGGG